rnacentral:ncRNA from 1 species
AUCUUCAGGGCAGGGUGUGAUUCCCGACCGGCGGUAAAGUCCGCGAGCCUUUGGGCAGACUCGGUGCAACUCCGAGACCGACAGUACAGUCUGGAUGGAAGAAGAC